ensembl:lncRNA
CGGGGGGUCAGCACAGGUGGAUCUGCCGUCUGCCACAGCCCCGCAGCCGCGCCCCACCGCCGUAACGCGGCUCGUUGCGGUAAGUGAAGACCACAGGUGUAGCGUGGGCAGCGCUCGCUCGAACCUUCUCCUCAGGCCGGAGCCCCGCGCUUGGCUCGCCCCUCAGGGAGCAGCGCUUCACGCGCACCACAAGCGCCCCGUCCGCCUCUCACGUUCCUGUUUGGAUAUCGCAAAUGGGAAACGUUUUGUCAGACUGUGCUUCGUGGGAUGGGGAAUUCAAGUCUGGUUCUAUCCCCUGAUAGCAUCGCAGAACCACCUGAGGUGGAAGGGACCCUUUAAAGGCCAUGCAGGCCACUGCCGAUCAGGGGAGAGGGAAAGAAAGAUCCUCCAGCAAAACACUCGUUAGAAAGAAUUCCUCUUUCAUGGAAGCUGCAGUAGAUAACUGGAUUAAAGACCUGCAGGAAAUGGAAAAUGCAUUGCUCUGAGAUCAUAAAUGGACUUAUCAGAACAGCUGGACUCUAUUUACCACUUCAUCACAAGUUUGUGGACCUCCCAGGCACACCAAUUACUUCACAUCAGCUCUGAAUACCCACGACCGUUUGAUGUCCCACAUGAAGAGCUUCAUACUCACGUUCACCACUGGCUGCUGGCAUAGGAGAAUGAACAAAUGGGAAUAAGUUAUUUUUUGAAGCUAGCUGCUGCAAUGGAAGAAUCGUACUGAACUGUGCCCCAACCAAGGCUGUGGGAGAGAGAAACACUUGCUAGGCAUGGCAAAUCUGAUUCUAGAAAAUUGCAUUUAUAAGCAAAAGAAGUUGUAGGAACCAGCAGCGAAGCGUACAAGAUGACCCCAGACAUGAGAUAGAACAGUUCCAUUUUUGAAGUACAUUUAAAAGAAAAGUUUGCCACCAGCAAUUGGAGAGCUUAUUGUUUUCAAAAGAUUAACAAACUUAUUUUCCUACAACUUAAAGAUUGAAAAUCCGAAUUGUAAAUUCUGCGGAUGCUGCAAGGAACAUGGAGAAUGCAAGGUUUGAACAACUCCAAAUGGAACACAAGAUUGGACAAGUUCCCUACAUACAGUAUGGAGGA